UGGCCAGACUCCUACGGGAGGCAGCAGUGGGGGAUAUUGCACAAUGGGGGAAACCCUGAUGCAGCGACGCCGCGUGUGGGAAGACGGUCUUCUGGAUUGUAAACCACUGUCCCCAGGGACGAAAAUGACGGUACCUGGGGAGGAAGCCCCGGCUAACUACGUGCCAGCAGCCGCGGUAAUACGUAGGGGGCAAGCGUUAUCCGGAUUUACUGGGUGUAAAGGGAGCGUAGACGGCCAGACAAGUCUGAAGUGAAAAUCCAGCGCUUAACGUUGGAAGUGCUUUGGAAACUGCCGGGCUAGAGUGCAGGAGGGGCAGGCGGAAUUCCUAGUGUAGCGGUGAAAUGCGUAGAUAUUAGGAGGAACACCAGUGGCGAAGGCGGCCUGCUGGACUGCAACUGACGUUGAGGCUCGAAGGCGUGGGGAGCAAACAGGAUUAGAUCCCCUGGUA
rnacentral:rRNA from 1 species